rnacentral:lncRNA from 1 species
CCAUUUUUCCUGGGAAGGCUUUCCAGUUACUUGAAGGGACUUGGGUGUUGUAAUGCAAGUUUUGAUCACUGUAGCAGUAUCUGUACUGGGGACACCCAAACCUUGGAAUGCAACGGCUCUUGCAGACUUGUAGAUACCACUGGGAUGGUCUUGGAUAAGAUCCAAAAGAAUUCUCUGGGUUGCCAGGUAGAAACUCUUGUUCUCUUCUUUUCCUUUCUCCCAAACAAAUGGAGUCUAUUCCUUUGUGCUGAGCUGCCUGGAGCUGGGAGAGGGAUAACACAAGCACCCUUGUAGCUACCACCACUGGGACUGUGCUGGGUGUGACCUGAAACCAGCACAGCACUGAGUGAGUUUUUUUCUAUGGCAUGCAGUAAUCACUGCCUGGCUACCUCCUGUAUUCACCCAAGUCCCUAGGGUUCUGCAGUCAGCUUUGUGUCCUUCCCUUCAGGGUAGCAAUUUUCCCUCAACUGCAGGUGAGUCUAGAGAUGCCAUUUGGGAGACAGGGCCUGGAGUUAGAAGCCUUAGGAAUCUAACUGAUGCUGUAUUCUACUGCAGGUGAGCUGGCACUGAAGCUACAAGACAAUGUCUUUUCCACUAUUCCCUUUCCUUUCCACAAGCAGAGGAGUCUUUUCCCCUGGCCACCACUGCCCAAGGCUUUCAGAAGUUCUUCAGGGGCAUUAACACUCAUGGAACUGUCAUCUCCUAUGACCAACAAUGCCUUCUUCUGGAACACCUUCUGAAGGAUUUCCCUGAGGCUGUUUUACAGUUAAUCAUUUUUGUUUAAAUUUUAAAUAAGCAGGAGUACAAUCAAAAUAAUAAUAAAAAGUAUAGUAUGGUAAAUGCAUAAACCAGUAGCAUAGUCAUUUAUUAUCAUUAUCAAGGAUUGUGUAUUAUACUUAAUUUGUACCUUAUAGAAUUUUAUAAGACUAGCAGUGCAGUGGUUUGUUUACAUUGGCAUCACCACAAACGUGGGAGUAACAUGUACGGUUGUGUCACUAGGUGAUGUCACUAGUCACUAGGUGAUAGGAAUUUUUCAGCUCCAUUAUAAUCUUAAAUGACCAUCAUCAUAUAUGCAGUGUGUUUUUGACGGAAAUGUCCUUAUGUGGCACAUGACUGUAAACUAGUGGUCACAUUGUAGGGUUUUUCUUUAAAUAGACUAGGCUAUUCCCUAAUCAGGAGACUACAGGCAUCUGAACUCUCUCAGGGAAUGAGGAAAUGCCUUGAAUCUCCACUUGGAUGAUUCAAGUAAGUUUUCUUCCUAGCAGACCUAGAAUUUUUCCAUUUAUAUAUGUCUAGCAGCAUCUUCAUAGACUGGUCAUCUUUUUCACUUCUAUAGACCCAGUGAUUAGCUUGCCACCACCACAUAUUUCUGAGGUCAGACACUCUUAUUACAUUCUAACACUAGAGUUGAUUAUGGUUAUCUUUUACACUUUGUCUCUGACAAAGCACCAUCCUUGGCCUCUUUUAU